GAAACUCUAUCUGUCUGGGCACAGAUGUCUGCCUCCCUGGCAGGCUCCUGUUCACCCUGCUGUGGCCUACCAUUCUCAGGAUGCAGAGGCAAAGGGUGGUGGAUUUCUGUAGAUGACUGUUUUAAAACAGCGAGAGCAGGAGGGCUCUGUGCUGCUCUCUGGAACUUUCUGCAGCUAAGGGCGCCGUGCGUUUGGCUUCUUCUCCGGGAAUCAGAGGCAGUGAUGGCGGAGAUGAUGACAACGGAGACAACUGCGGUUCAGGCUGGGUCUGCCGGCAGCCUUCUGAGCUCUGGGUCAUUCUCCAUUUUCCCACUUUCUAGUGCAUAGGCUGGGGUGACAGGACAGCUCCCUGCCCUCACCUGCCUGCACGGGAUGGGGAAGCGAUCCGCUAUUCCACAUCUUUUUCCCUUCCGAAAGCAUGAGAAGGUCCCAUGCCGAGGCACCCAAGGAAAGCUGGAAAAGUGUGCGUCCUAGGCCAAAGGCCCUCCUGCCCGUCUGCAGCACUGAGCCGAGCCGCAUCAACCCUGACUUUGAGUGGCAAAUUACAGCCUGCCUGUGUAAUAGCUCUCCAUCUUAUUUAUUCAUUUUUUUUGAAUUCCUAAAAAAAAAAUCAUGGCAAGAAGAUCAGCAUGGCCCCCUGCCCCCCGCACUGUGGAAGUUUGAUAAUGUAUGUCCUAACCGCUUAAUUGAUUGAUUACCUCGCUCCAGCUUCCUGAGGUACCAAAUUUAUCUCUAAUAGCCAGCGUCAGGCUCGGCAGGCAACCGUGGGGGGGAUGGGGGUCCCUUGGUGUCGAUUUGCUCUUAACUGGAAAGUCAUUACCACUUAAUACAUGUAGAUUGUGUUGAAAGAAAAUUAUGUGUAAUGAAAUGAGGGGGAAAUUAGUGGAGUGUUAUGGGCGAAAGCAGAUGUUAGUGAGGAAUUAUGCUAGCAGAGAUAAUCACCUUCGCUGGUAUUGUGUGUGCUGGGGUGUUAACUCAGGGAGAGGCCGGCAGAGAGCUAAGCCAGUGUAUUGUUGGGCCCAGAUUCGCCCCCAGAACCUCAGUGAUGAACUGGACUUGGAUGCUGAGCCCCUCGAGCUGGGCUCACCCACAUCUGUAUCUCUUUCUUGUUGGCUUUUUGAGGUGCUAGGACUCAAAGCAUUUACCUGCUGGCACUUACAGAGGCAGCAUGGAGUCACUCAUGAGGCCUGAGGACAGCAAUCCACUUUCACUCUUGCAUUAGCUGAGUCUAUUCAAAACAUGACAGAUUCAAAACAAACAAACAAACAAACAAACAGAAAAACAGGAGCAACAAAAAGCAACAAACUAACAAAUGACAAGAGGCUCUGAGACCUUUUGUUAAUGGUCUUAUCCCAAAGAGAGGUAUUUAAGUGCACAUGGGUGACGCCAGAAAAAUUAGAUUCCUUGUUUCUGUGUCCUGGGAUGCUGAGGAAAGUGACAAAUAUUUACAGUCCCCACCUCUCUGGAGUGCCUGCUACCAGGGCUACACAGAGAUAAAAGUCUCCGUGCAUAGUUACAGCUACUAGGAGACAGAGGGAAAUCUGGCCCUUAGCUCAGGGUCAGCUGAUAUUUCAGAGGCCACACGGAAUUUGCAGGACUCUAGAGUCUAAAGGCUGUGAGGUAACACCACACAGUGACCACUGUCUCAGCAUAGGGUAGGCAGGCACAUGCAGGUGUUCCAUGAUGCCCUCAGGGUCUGGGUGAGGCUCAGGGCAAGGCUGCUUCUGUGGUCUACAGCCAUGAAUAGAAACUCUCAUAUCAUUUGCAGUGCCAUGGUGGAGAGGCCCAUGGUCCCACCCACAGCAUCACAAAGAUCAAUGAGCCGAGUGGAUACAAAUGGUACUGAGCAUCUUAAAUGGAGUUUCUAAUAGGAAAGUAGACACCUCAGGGCUUGCAGGCUCUGGGCUUAAAGGUUAGGGGUAAGUCUGUUUUAUGACUAUGUUGGGUAAAUAAGUCCUCCAACCAGUGUUCAACAGCUUGAUAGUACAAAUCUCCAGUAUACUGCAUACAAUGCCUAGUGCUUCUAGGCACUCAGUAGUUGACAUUCAUAGGUUAUGAGAAUGACAGUUUUGCAUAGAAGUAUACAUGUUAAAUUAUGCCUAAUAGAUAUAGGCAGAUAUGCACAUAUGCACACACAUAUAGAUGGAUAGAUAGAU